CAGAUGGUGUCGGUGGAAAUUCAAGCCAGAGGUUUAUUCCAGAUGUUUUGAAGUCAGGCUGAUAAUUCACAGUGGGUAUUUCAGGUGCAGCACAGUUCCAAUUCCAUGUGCUGAGCACAUUGUUCUCUAUUUUUUCUCUUCUUUGGCUGAAUAUUUAAAAAAUGCUUAGCACACCAGGAGUGAUAACACUGCUAGAUAAGAGUAGGGAUUUUGAGAAUCUAUUGCCUUAGAGAUUCUUGCAGCUUUCCUUUGUUUGUUUCCCCUUUGCUUCUGCAGGGGAUGCAGAUGUUGGAUGAGUGAUUGCACAGGAGCCAAAGAAUCAGACAGGCUGUCUGUGGAGCUGUGAUGAUAAACGUGUGUGCAGACCUGGAGGUGAGGCAGCACUUACUGGGGCUGCUGAGAGCUGUGUGCCAAGGACAGAGCACUUGGAGGCAUUCUGAAGCACGGAGCACUGUCAGGACUUGCCUUAUCCCUCCUGGCUGCACUAGAUGGCUCUGCUCUGCUCUGCACCUCCUGGCUGUUCCGUGCUGACGAGGGGAGGAUAGGCAUAAUGGUGUUCAGAUGUCCUGAAUCAUUCCUAACUCCACUGAAUUGAAUCUCCAGCCCAGAUAUUACUUUCUUUUUAGGGAGAAAUAAUUUAUGUCCUCCUGUCCUUUGGCACAUGGAGGAUGCAUUGCUGUAAAUAAGGUGAGGAACAUGCAGUUAUAUAAAGCCCAGAAAUACAUAGCUGUUGUUUUGUUUUGUUUUAAUUGGCUUAUGAUCUUUCUACUGCUGCUUGCAGUGUUCAGUGCUUUAUAGCCCUACAAUCACAUCUGCUGAAUGGCCUGCUCUCACGCAGCUUUUACUCAAGAGAUUACAGCAGACUGCUUGCAGCAGCAGUCCUGAGUGAAGGUGUCCUUCAGCUGCAAUGGAAAAAAUGGAUGGGAUCAAAAUGACAGAACGAGGUACACGGCCAGAUCUUCAAAAAGUUCCACAAAUGUUGUCUGUGCUCAGCUACUUUCUUUGUUUCCCUUGGGCUUAUCACGCCAUGCUGAGCACCCAGCUCUUCCAUUUACAGUUGUUGGGCACAAGAACA
rnacentral:lncRNA from 1 species